UGGUUUCUUUGAGGAAGAGUGUCUUUGUAUCUACAGAGCUUCACAGUGCUUCCAGGUAGGAGUCUCUUUCUACAACAGGAUUUUCAAGGAAGAUCCUUCUAGCCUUGCUCAUGACGGGGGCUUGGAAUACACAGGUAGUAGCCAGGCCUGAGUUACAACAUCUAGAACCACACCAAAGUCCCCAGAACUCCCUGCUGUAAGUAAAGCCACGAAAUGAAGGGAAUCUCUCUCCUACAAUCCACCCCAAGAUGAAUCAGGCCGUGUUCUGUUGUGCUGGUAAGCUUUAUUGUUUGCUGCGUCGAUACAAUUUUUCAAGAUUCUAAUGGAUAAGGCAGUGUACAGAGAAAAUGAGGCUUGCAUUGUGAAGUUCUUCAUUAAUAAAGCUUCAGAUUAAGC